UACGGAAGGCAGCAGUGGGGAAUAUUGCACAAUGGGCGAAAGCCUGAUGCAGCUAUGCCGCGUGUAUGAAGAAGGCCUUAGGGUUGUAAAGUACUUUCAUCGGGGAGGAAAAAACAAAACUAAUAAUUUUAUUUCUUGACGUUACCCGAAAAAGAAGCACCGGCUAACUCCGUGCCAGCAGCCGCGGUAAUACGGAGGGUGCUAGCGUUAAUCAGAAUUACUGGGCGUAAAGAGCACGUAGGUGGUUUUUUUAAGUCAGAUGUGAAAUCCCUGGGCUUAACCUAGGAACUGCAUUUUGAAACUGAAAUACUAGAGUAUCGUAGAGGGAGGUAGAAUUCUAGGUGUAGCGGUUGAAAUGCGUAGAUAUCUGGAGGAAUACCUGUGGCGAAAGCGGCCUCCUAAACGAAUACUGACACUGAGGUGCGAAAGCUGGGGAGCAAACAGGGAUUAGAUACCCGU
rnacentral:rRNA from 1 species